rnacentral:rRNA from 1 species
UACAGAGGUCUCAAGCGUUGUUCGGAUUCAUUGGGCGUAAAGGGUGUGUAGGUGGCGCCGUAAGUCGGGUGUGAAAUUUCGGAGCUUAACUCCGAAACUGCAUUCGAUACUGCGGUGCUUGAGGACUGGAGAGGAGACUGGAAUUCAUGGUGUAGCAGUGAAAUGCGUAGAGAUCAUGAGGAAGACCAGUGGCGAAGGCGGGUCUCUGGACAGUUACUGACACUGAGGCACGAAGGCCAGGGGAGCAAACAGG